UACGGGGGGGCAAGCGUUGUUCGGAAUUACUGGGCGUAAAGGGCUCGUAGGUGGCCAACUAAGUCAGACGUGAAAUCCCUCGGCUUAACCGGGGAACUGCGUCUGAUACUGGAUGGCUUGAGUUCGGGAGAGGGAUGCGGAAUUCCAGGUGUAGCGGUGAAAUGCGUAGAUAUCAGGAGGAACACCGAUGGCGAAGGCAGCUCGCUGGGACGGUACUGACGCUGAGGCGCGAAAGCGUGGGGAGCGAACAGG
rnacentral:rRNA from 1 species